CCAAGUUUUUUCUUCUCUCCUGCACAGAUAUUUACAGAGAACUGUGAAAGAACACUGACUUCUGGCAAAUUCUCUGUACCUUCACUUCACUGCAGUGCAGGAGAGAAUAGGCUUAACAGGAAUAGAAGAAAAGGUCCUUUUGACUGCAAAGGAAGGAACAAGCCAGAAAACAGCUUCUUGGAUUUCAUUCUCGGAGAGAGCAAGUUCAAGAGUAUAGAACUGCCAAGGCCAGCAGGAGAAUUCGCAGCUGUUGAUGAGAGCAGGAAGGGAUCUUUUAUCUCCAGGAGGUAUUCUAGGAAUGGCCUACAAUAACCAUUGGAAAUUUCUCUCCCUUUCUUGGCCAUAUGCCAACUGCAAUGUAACUUUGAUUGCUCUGCAAGCCAAGAUGAAAGUGCAUCUGUUUUGAAGGCAGUGUUCCAAUAUCUCUCAUUAACUGCAGUGUUCUGGUCAAGAUUAAUUGCUACCUAAAGCUGGACGGUCCCUUCAUCCUGAAGCACAUCUCCAGAGAUGGCUCUGGCAGCUACUCUAUUUACAAACAGAGUAGCCCAGUAGGAUGCUUCUGAGAUGGAGGAUGGAUAGGUGGAUGGACAGUUUACAGAUUUUUUGGAUGUAAAGCAAAUGUGAGUGCCCAGGACAGCCUUCCAAAGAUUCAUUCCACACAGUGGCAUGAACACAUCAGUGCUGAAUCUCAGAAGGCAUCUUCUCAAUGUUUUGAGAACUGACCUUUGAGGGUUCCAUCUCAGAGGAGCUGACCUUGAGGAGAGGAGUAGUAAGAAAGGCAAAAAUUAAAGAAAAGUCUCCUCAGCAUUUGUUUAUUCUGUAUUAUAAGGUUUGCAUGCAAUAAUUCUGUAUGCCCAAAAUACAAUAUUAGUAUUGAGAGGGAAGUAAAUGAUAACAGAAAAAAAAAAAUAAAAAAAUUUGUUUCCACCUGCAUGAUGUUCUCCCCCUGACUAGGAACCCUGUAACAGUUCUGCCCUUCUGUGUGCUGUCUCUGGGAUUGUCUCAUUUCCUUCCUCAGAGUGGCUGCAUUCAGGCUGUGCUUCACAGAGGGACUCUGUGCUUUAGCAGAAGGCAUGUCUUUGACAUGUGGCAUAAAUCAUAAAUGGGCAGACAUGAAACAGAGCACAGCAAAAGCCUGGGUUUUAGAACAGUAAUUAAAUAAUAUGUCCUUGUGAUCUAUCCUUGGUACCAUAUAAAUCAAAUACAAUUCUGUGUUAGACAGGCAGAAAAGAGAAUUGCUGGCAAGCUAAGCUUAAAAUGAUGAGCUUUGUAAGUCCUUUGAUGUUUCAAUUUCAGCAGUAGCUUGCUUUCGGAAUAUAGUGUAAUUGAUACAGCCACAAAAUCAUAAUUGUUCAGUUUAUGUAAAGCCAGAAUAGCUUUAUUGUUAAGGUGGUGGAGGAGUCUCGGUCUGAAAAGAUAUGACUUCAACAGGAACUUUAUGUGCUGGUGCACGUAUUACCUAAAGAAUGAAUAGAUCUUCCAAGCAAAUAAUGAUAUAGCAGGUCUCCAUAAACGCUCUGUUUAUGGAGCUGUUUGCAAAUGCACUACCUGAAUGUUCUUAUUUCCAAAAAUACUUCUUCAUCAGAAUAGAAAAUUUACCAAAAAUGUUUCAAUUCUAAUGAAAUUUCCUAUAAGAGGAUGAAAUACAGUGCUUUGAAAAUGUCAGCCCUUUUCAGAGUCAGGUUUUUAUUUCUUUUUGUAGACAAUUUUUUCUUGAUUUGUUUUGAUUGCUUGUAAUAGUAAGGACAGUCAAUUCAUACUGCAAUGCAACAUCCUGAUGAUGUUACAGCAUUUGACUUAUCCUGAAAUUGUUCCUCCUUUACCCCCAGAAAUUUUAUUCAAGGGAAAAAUUCCUAAGUUUGUUUUUUCAAUUGUUUCCUGAUAAUUCUCAUGCUACUUUCUCGUCCAAGUAGACAAAUUAUCUCUGUUUAGUGGGUAGACACGAGCAUUUGCUCUCCUGUCAUUUCUUGCUAUUGAUCCUUGUUGAAGGUUGUAGUCUUCCCAGGUGGUGAUCAAGGAGAAAACUGCAGUGUGAGCUUUCAGUUUGGACAAGUUUUUAAAAUAACCUGAGCCUUACUGCACCUGUGUGGUGCAGAGGGGAAAGCCACAGACCCAAAGUGGUUAUGUCCCAUAAUAUAACAUUCUUUUCAUCAGCCUAAGCUGACAAUUUUCUCUUCUAGGUUUUAUGUGCUUUUUUUGAUUUUUUUUCCCUGGAAAUGACGUCAGAGAAUCUCAGAAUGUCUUUGAGAGAAUGGAUAUUAUUUGGAGACAAACAUGAGUCAACAAAGGAAUGAGAUACUGGAAAAUGGUAUACAGUAAAUGAAAUGGAACUUCCUCCUUUCUGCAGCUGUGUGAAGGUCUCAGGUCUUAUUUUGGCACCACACUUCACAGUUUCUACUAUCCUCUGAAAAAUAUUGUUUAUGUGCUGAAUUUGAUUCACAGAGAAUAGAUUCUAUAAAUUCACUUCAGAAGAAGCAGUAGCUGAUUAAGUAUCUGUGGCCUUGAACUGCCUGAGACAAAAAGAGCUGAAAUGGGUUAAAAAAGUAUGAAAACAGAUUUAUUUCCUGGAAGUGAAUGGGAGUUACCAGGGGAGGAAUCAGCAGGUGAAAGAAGCAGGAGAGAUGCCGCCUCUGAUAUCUGUUUGAUAAUUUUCUUGUCUUGUUCAUAUCUCCCUGACAAGCUGCAUGGGAUCCACUUUGCUCACUUCUGACCUGCAAGCCAUGUCCUGUGAUUUGUUUGAUCUGCAUUUUUUCUUUGUUUGUUUGCAUCAGAAUAUCUGAGAAAAGUACGGCAGCACGAAUGUGUGGUCUAAUAAAAAUCUACCACUAUUUUGGCUCACCCCUUCCUUAAUUGACGUGACACCAGAUCACCUUUCUGCAGCUUCCCUAACACCCAUCCAGGCAGUGUGGUAUGUGUAUCUGCAUGGGACUGGAUGUUGAAGGGCAGCCUGCAGAACUGCUCAGCAGCAAAGGAAGCGCUUUUUUCUGGCCAGCAAAGACAAGAAGUCCUUCACAAUAGCUGUCCUCUAUUCUCUGUUUGAGCUGUAGAUGGGGAAUGUAAGAGGUUCUGUUUCAGCUGCAGAUAGGGAGUAUAACAGGUGCCCAGUGACUGGCAGCUUAGACAAGUAGCUUAAUGCUGGAGACAGAUAUAACUUUCAGGACUUUGGGGAAAUGUCUGAACAAGACCAAGUUUCCUCUGUUUUAUGAGUUUAUCAUCCAGGCUGUGUAGUCUGUCUCUGCUAGGUUCUCUUUCAUGAGCGCUGAAAAAACUUUCUCUGCCUUACAAGUAAGCACAGUCCUUUCCUGCUCUUCUACUUCCACAUGUGACUUUCAUUUUUUACUUCUCUGUGCAUGACAAAAAUGCAAUAGCAGUCAUGCUGUGGAAUCAGUGCUGUAUAUUUAUGCAUAUGCAGGUACAGUCUGGGGAGCCUAGGGGUAUAUUCAGAAAUAUCUGGGAUUUGUGAAUUGAGCUAACUACAAGCUCACUACAUUUUAGCUGUCCUCCAUUUGUGUGUGGUUUGAAUUCUCUGCAGUCAUAGCAUUUAGAAAGAAGAUCUUUUGUUUGCAGUAAUUAAAGGCACUAUCUCAUAGUAGUUUGAGACAGGCUGUGCCAAGGCUGAUCCUUGGCUUGAGAAAGCACAAUUGAAUUUUUGAGAAGGAUGAGAAAAUAAUCCCUUUCUAUUAAGGUAACGUGGCUUUAUAGGUAAAUUCUAUAUGACAGCAGCCACUCAAAUAAAAAUAAAUAAAUAAAUAAAAGGAGCAAAGCUGCCAGCUAAAGCACUGUUUCCUCACUAAGGUUCUAAUUCAACCAUGUAUGGAGGCUGCCUUGAAAGUAAUGUCUCCUAUUUUAUGAUGUCUGUCCACGCCAUCAGAGCCAGAUGUUGGUGGUGUGGCAGUAGAGGUGGAACCUUCCCUCCAAUAUCCCAUUACACGCUGUUGGCGUGUGAGACAUGGCAGCAGAAGGGCACUCUGACAGAAUGGUGUGUGACACAGACAUGCGGAUGAAGCAAACAGGGGGUUGGAACUGAAUUUCUCCAUGUGAAAACAGUGGCACCCACUGAUAUUCAUUGACACUUGGUGAAUGUUUAUGGAUACCAAACAGUGACUGUGAGCACAGUGAGGCAGUGGGUGGUGCAUUUCAGCAGUGGUGACAGUGAUGUGAAAGACAAGCUACAUUCUGGAUGGCCAUGCACAGCUGUCAGCAUGGAAUGAUCAGCUCAUCCAUGAGAACUGGAGGAUUAUGACCAGAGCACUGCUUGUGAAGCUGAAAAUUUAAUACUGGCUACACUGCUAUAUCACAGAGUUUUCUUAAAACUAAACCCACAGAUGCUCACAAAGGAGGAACAAGAACUCUGCAUGCAGGCUUGUCAGGACCUACUGAACCAAUGCAAGGGUGAAGGUAACCAUUUCCUGGAUUGCAUCAUUACCGGUGAUGAGAUGUUUUAUCACUGCUGUCGGUUGGAGUCAAAACAGCAGUCCAUGGAGUGGUGACGUGAAUUCCUCACCAAAGAAAAAGCUCAGAACACAGCCCUCAGCUGGUACCGUGAUAUGCACUGUCUUUUGGGAUAGGAAUGAUCCCUCUUGAUUUCCUGGAACCUGAAUAAACCAUCAGCUCUGACUGCUACAUCAUGACUCUGACUAAAAUGAAGGCUCAAACACCCAAAGUCAGGUCAGAGAAGAAGAUGAAUUCUCAUGCAGCAUGACAACACCAGCCCCAUACCAGUUUGAAGAUAGUGCAGCACAUCUCCAGUCUUAGGUGGACUGUCCUACCACAUCACUGCAGAGUUCAGAUUUAAUGAUGUAUGAUUUCCAUCAGUUCAGGCUGAUGAAAGAUGGACAAUCGUUGGUAAUAUUUUUUGUAGCAACGAUGUGUCAUAGCUGUGAAACGGUGGGUCACCUCAGCUGGUGCAGAUUUUUACUAUCACAGCAUGCACGCUUUGUUCAUCGAUGGCAAAAAUGCAGAGCUAAUGAUGGGGAUGUGUCAAAAAAGGAGUGUUUUGUAACAGAGAAUUUGCUCUACAAAACAGUGUUAUUGUGUUCUUUGCAACUGUCAUAGUUUCCAUGGAAAUAAAUAGGAAGCAUUGAUUUUGGAAUCAUCUGCAUGUAUUGACAUGACUUUAAGCAUUUUUCAAACCUGUAUGCAUACUAAGGAAAUUCUUUCUUUCCAGAAUAUAGUUCUCACUUCAUUCUUAUAGUGUGUAUGUAGUGGAUUUCAGCCUCUGCAAUUUGAGCUUAAUUAAGUGUUGUUAAGUCAACUGAAUGUUUUCCGGAAAACAUAUUUUCUUGGUUCCAAACGAUUACUUUUAUUUCAUUGGCUGUGUAUGAUGGAUAUAGUACUCUUUGUGUAUUUCAUUUUUGUAUUUCUCCACAUUUCUUCAGAUGUAUGUCUUGGUCCAGGCUCUGCAGCAUGCUGCAGCUCUGAACCACAGCCCCAAUUCUGAGAGAUCUAUGAUGAAAUUUGCAGAGCACACAGCAAGAAGGAUCCUCUGGAAUUACUGUGUAAUGGAGGAGAAGGCCUCUCCUGGUAGGUCUUGCAUCAACCCUGACAAUGACAGAAGAAUGGGGCAUGUCUUAGAAGGACCUUGUAAGCGCAAGUCUUGUCUGCAGGAGAAAAUUCAUUUGUCAGUCAGGAGCCUCUUCCACACAAAUGGCAAAGAAGAUGGGCCAGAAGGGAAAGUGAGGACAUUUGUGCAAGCUGGAAUGUGACUGCUAUGAUCCACUGCUGGUAGACAAAAGCACAUCUGCAAAUCUAGCUACUGUAUUGUACAAAUGUUCUCAUUUUACUCAUAUAGAAAGAAGUAGCUCAUGUAUAAAUAAAAUCUCAUCAUUCUUUUGUGGUAGCGGAAAGGGUCAUUUAUUAUGAAAAGGAAAUAUCUUAGAUAGUUCCUACUGCAGGCAUAGUUUUGGGACUUAAAGUCAAAGCUGCACAGAUCUUCUAUCUUAUGACUGAAAUAGUUUCUGCUUAAUAGUUAACUGAAGUGGAAAUGCAGUGUAUUUCAUACACUGCAACAGUGGAAGGCUCAUGCUGAUUAUUCAUGUUUUGGGUUGGUUGUGGUUUUUUUUGGUUUGUUUGUUUGUUUGUUUUUCUGCUGAUGGUACUAUAUCUUAAUAUGUGUUAAUAUGUUUGCAAUUGUUUCAAAAAGUACAGGUAUUUAGCAAGUCCCAAUUAAAACUGAUUUUGAACUUA